GCCUUCGCCACGCCCGCUCAGUCAGUAGUUUGAUCCUGGCUCAGGACGAACGCUGGCGGCGUGCCUAAUACAUGCAAGUCGAACGCUUCUUUUCUACCGAGUGCUUGCACUCAAUUGAAAAGAGGAGUGGCGGACGGGUGAGUAACACGUGGGUAACCUACCCAUCAGAGGGGGAUAACACUUGGAAACAGGUGCUAAUACCGCAUAAUAGUCGACACCGCAUGGUGUUGAUUUGAAAGACGCUUUCGGGUGUCACUGAUGGAUGGACCCGCGGUGCAUUAGCUAGUUGGUGAGGUAACGGCUCACCAAGGCCAUGAUGCAUAGCCGACCUGAGAGGGUGAUCGGCCACACUGGGACUGAGACACGGCCCAG
rnacentral:rRNA from 1 species